UAAAAUGUCAAAAACAUUAUUGAAAAAUGUUAAAUGAGGCCACGUGCUCGAUCUUGUCUGAUCUCGGAAGCUAAGCAGGGUCGGGCCUGGUUAGUACUUGGAUGGGAGACCACCUAGGAAUACCAGGUGCUGUAGGCA
rnacentral:rRNA from 1 species